rnacentral:lncRNA from 1 species
GUAAGAGCAAGGAGGGUGGGUGGUUGCUAAUUAAAAAAAAAUGCUAAUGAAAAGGAAAUCCAAGAAAAUAUGAAUAAGAUGGAAGAGAUUAGUUUGUUUGCAAAUUUAAAAGCGAAUGACUUGAAAACAUGGGUAUUGCUGGUAUGCCGUUUGACAUCGUUCUCAAUAGAAGAGAGGAAUUGCAAAAGUAUCUCAAAAAGUACAAAUCAUGAACAAAUUAAUAAAUACAAAUGAAAAAAUAAUUUUUCACAGGGGUAAACAGUAGCCAAAGUAAUAUAAUUCAGAUGAAAAAGAGACUAACCUAAGUGUUUGACAGUGGUGAGUCUCAUUGCCUUUUUGCAUGAAGAGAAGCUUUUUGAGUAUCUGAAGUUGAAUCUUGGAUGUUGACUCCAUCUUUAACAACAUGAUUAUUGGUGUGAGAUGCAUCUGCUUGACUAUAAUAAAGAAAAACUUAACAAUGUAGUGGAAUAAAGGAAACAACUGUCAAGGCUAAAAAAAUAAAAUAAAAUUGACAUGUCUGUUAUAGAAACAUUGUUGUGGAAAAAAGGAAACAUUAGUGAAGAAAGAAAGAAAAUGCAUGUCCAUUAUCCAUGUAAUUCAAAAACAGCAAACCACAUUCAAGAAAUAAAUGGCAAAUCUGUUAAUGGAGUUGGAUUUUUGUGUGGAACCUAUGUUGCGCUCUAAAGUUAUUGAAGUAAAGGGUUUUUUUUUCGCUUCAAGGAUAAAGACAUUACCAAUAUCUAAUGGUUCAGAUAAGGGAGUUUCUAAAGAACCAACAAUUGUGAUUGUGUGUGAGAUGCUUUCUAGGGUAAAUGGGUUGGGCCGUUGUUUCUGUUAAGGUGCAUGAAAAACGAGGCUGCAAGUUAGUAUCAUCAACAAUGUUGUCGUCGAAGAUGUUUGUUAUGAUUAUCUCACAGCGGUUGGUCCCAACUCUAAAAGCACUAAAGCGCAGCUUGAAAGUCCAGUUUCUAUUUAGUUUGGCUACCAUUAGAGGUGUGACGGUGCUGGUGCUUGGGUCAUUUAAUUUCUUGUCAUAAAUGUAGUUGUGUGUAGACAACCUAAAGAAAUUUCUUAUAGUCUUACCAACCAACUUAAAAUCAAUGACAUCUACUCCAUUAGCAACAAGUGACUUUAAACCUUUGUCAAAGAAACAACAACACAACAAAAGUAGUAAAUAAGGAAAGACUAACAAAAAGCAAAUAUACAUGUUUUAUAGGUUUUGAAUGCCUUAAAAGAAGGUAAUAGAAGUGUUAUUACCAUGAUAGAGGUGGUUGGUUGAAGGUGUGGUCAUCUGGACACCUUUUUUUAUUUUUUAACCCUACCUGUGAUUUGGUACAUUCUAGGUAGGCUUCAUUCAUACUACCAUCCUUUAAACAAAUUAUAUUCAACAAUUGAGGCCUGAAAAGUAAACCUCUCAUGCUACAUAAGUGAUGGGAACAUAAUGCAAUGAAAACAUUGGAGUGUAGUAGCAUUGUAAAUAAAUAAAGGAACAAUAAUAAUGUUUUUGUUAUAGAAAGGUACUAAGAAUGUUUAUCUAUGGGGAGAAAAUGUAUCAAGAGAAAUAGAAAGAUAAAUCUUAAAAGACCUUAUGCUAAUAAUUAAGGACUCAUGUAGAGAAUUUCUCUAAUUGUUUUGCGAUUCUCAUUUCUUUGAUCCUCAUCAAGUGUCAUGAAGGUUCAGAAGGAAAAUGGCAGGAGCUGGACCUCUACAGGCAGUGGCAGAUGGAGGGGGGGCUGGCAGGGGCCCCGGCCCCUGCAAGGAAAUGCCCCUCCCUUGUAAAUAUUUAAUAAAAGUAACUGAAAUUUUUUCUUGGCCCUUCUAAUUUAUAAUUUGACCCCCCUAAAUAUUUUUUCUUGCUCCGCCCCUGUCUACAGGUAGUUGCCCAAACCUAAAGUAGUGAGAAAGGAAUGUUUGUUAUAAAUCCGUGUUCUAUAUGAAAAAUAUAAAAAGCAAAAUAAAGACAAAUCGAUGGAUUAAAACAUGGAAAAAUGUUAGCAAUAGAAAAUAAAGGCCGAAGAUAAUGCUCUUACCAGUUAGCAUUCUAGAACCCUUCCUCAUUGUCAGGAUAUGUGCAAAGUCAACAAAGUUGAAAAACUAUCUUGCGAUAGACGGUUUAAGAGGACAUUAGACCUUAGAUCAAUAACAACUUCAUGGUCGACAACUAUGUGUGGGUACUUGUUCUAAGAGGUAUAAAAGCCUCUGGUCUCGAAGUGAUCGCCAUCAAUGAUGUUUGAUCCAAGAUGCUGAAUAUCUCUAGCACGCCCGGAUCCUACAACGGAAGCAAAAACGAAGAAAGAUACAAGUCCAAUUGAUUAAGGUUUUAUUACACAUAAAGUUUGGAAGCUAGUGAAAGAAAAUAUAGCAGAUGAGAGCAAAUGAUUUCAAAAAAGCCGUCGUUCAUAAAUGUCAAGUGAAAAGAGCAAACCUGAGCAUCAACAAAUAAGCAAUUAAAGCUGCUAGGUUGGUCAGGGAUCCAUACACGGCAGGCAUGAACUUCUUGAUGUCCUUAAUCACAAAUGUCAUUGUGCUGCAAAAUAAAAAGAUGCAAGGGAAAGAGAGACAAGAAUAGAGUGAACUAAGAGGGCUAGCUGAAUUUAAAAAGACAGUAAGGCUAUUUUGGCCACUCUUACAAACAAAAAUGAACCAAAUAAGAGACAAUAAAGCUUAAGCAAAAGAUCUAUUGUCCACUUGAAAGAAUUGAUUAUGUUUAAACAUAUGUCAUUCAUUAAUGUAAUUUAUCCAUGAAUGGAAGAUCUUCUGCUAGAAAACAUAUGAGCAGUGUUGUAUAUUUAUUUCCUUAUGAGAGAUUAGAUGAGUAAUUAUAUGUGGAAAGAGACAGUGUAAUAGGUGUUGGACAUGCAUGGAUCUUCACUAUUUAAAGUCUAGAUAUAUGUAAGUGUGAUUGAUUGUGCUUAUAAAGAUGAUGAAUAUACAUAACAGUAGGAGAAUGAAUGAUAUCCAACAGAGGCAGAAUUACGCUAGCAUCUUUCUUUUAGGACUUUAUUUAGGAGACCAUGCAUGGUUGGAGAAUGUAGAAAUCUGCAACUGAAAUCUAUUUCCUUGCUUUGGUCUGGAGUGGCACAAAAUUAUAGACAUGUUUGUUUUAACCAUGGAUCAUGGAUUUGUUGGACUGCUUUGAUAUUUGUG